rnacentral:rRNA from 1 species
CUACGGGCUGCACCAGUGGGGAAUAUUGCACAAUGGGCGAAAGCCUGAUGCAGCAACGCCGCGUGAGUGAAGAAGGCCUUCGGGUCGUAAAACUCUUUUCUUGAGGAAGAAUAUUGACGGUACUCAAGGAAUAAGCCCCGGCUAAUUACGUGCCAGCAGCCGCGGUAAUUCGUAAGGGGCAAGCGUUAUCCGGAAUCACUGGGCGUAAAGGGUGCGUAGGUGGUCAAAUAAGUCAGAAGUGAAAGGCUAUGGCUCAACCAUAGUAAGCUUUUGAAACUGUUUGACUUGAGUGCAGGAGAGGAAAGUGGAAUUCCUAGUGUAGCGGUGAAAUGCGUAGAUAUUAGGAGGAACACCAGUGGCGAAGGCGACUUUCUGGACUGUAACUGACACUGAGGCACGAAAGCGUGGGGAGCGAACAGGAUUAGAUACCCGGGUAGUC